GCUCCGGUGGUCUAGUGGCUAGAGCAUCUGCCUCCAAUGCGGGAGGUCGUGGGUUUGAUCCCCAGUCAAGUCGUACCA